GCAAUAUGAAGGUCAGGCUGAAGACCUUACCCGAUUUAGCUGAGAGGUGGUGCAUGGCCGUCGUCAGUUCGUACUGUGAAGCAUCCUGUUAAGUCAGGCAACGAGCGAGACCCACGUCCACAGUUGCCAGCAUACCCUCCGGGGUGAUGGGUACACUGUGGAGACCGCCGCUGCUAAAGCGGAGGAAGGAGUGGGCAACGGUAGGUCAGUAUGCCCCGAAUCUCCCGGGCUACACGCGGGCUACAAUGGUUGGUACAAUGGGCAUCUACCCCGAAAGGGGAAGGAAAUCUCUUAAAGCCAAUCGUAGUUCGGAUUGAGGGCUGCAACUCGCCCUCAUGAAGCCGGAAUCCGUAGUAAUCGCGUUUCAACAGAACGCGGUGAAUACGUCCCUGCUCCUU
rnacentral:rRNA from 1 species